AAUUAUUGGAUGACACAAGACCUAUAAUAGAAGAAGAAACACUCUGAGAAGAGGCAUUAACAUUAGUACUAAGAGAAUAAGAGCUAAUAGGAGCAGUAAUAGAAAAAUCUAAAUCAAUAGUUGGAUUGUUUAUUGGAGAGAAAGAAUUAGUAGAAGUCACUAGGGGAGAAGUUGCAAAAGGAAAAAAAUAAUAAGGAACAAAAGAGAAUGAAGAGGAAG
rnacentral:lncRNA from 1 species